GCUUAUAUGGUUUAGUGGUAUAACGCUUGGUCAUUUAGGCUAAGAAGUGCAGGUUCGAAUCCUGUUAUGAGCG